AAAAAAGGUUAUUCAGUACAAAUGUUUACAAUAUUAAAAAUAUAUAUAUUUCCCCUAUGCCAUUAUAGAUGAACAGGUUAACAAGACCUUCCUGGAUAGUCCAGCUUGACUUCAAAAAGCACCAAUAAUACCCACUGGCACAUACCUUGAAUGAAUUUACUGUAUGAACAGACAACAAGUAAAACAACAGGGGUGGAUUUUUUUAAGGACUGCAAUUAAGCAAAGAUUAUAGGACUGAAAAUACCCUUUAUACUCAUGUAACUGAGUAAAACAUGUCAAAAAAUUCAGAAAAAAAGGAAGUUUAUAAUCAAUUUACAAUCAAUAUAUUCUAAAAAUAACUUAAAAUGAAACUAAGAAAGUUGGAGUUUAGUCAAACUUUUACCCCCCCCUUCCUAUUUUCAUUCCGUAAUUUAUAUGGAACAAUCCAGAACUACUCAGUUGCGGAAAGGGGUCAAGAUACAAAGCCAUUUAAAAAUCCACCUUCAUCUGUGUUACCAAAGACAGCAGCUGUUCUUCUAAGAAAACUCAUACGAACAAUUGCUAAACAGCCAAGAACACUUUAGGACUUUUUAACUGUUUAAAUCAAACACAGAAACCUUUUUAUUUAGCUAGACAGUUCACUGUGGUUACCUGAAAUCAUUUUCUCCCUUUAGGGAUAUCAUUAUAACCAGAAUGUUAACAAGGUCAGCUCCACUUCUCUUCUUGUUCUCACACCUAACUGCCAUCUCAAAACCACACACUGUGGCAGAGACAGAAAAAAAGAGUCCCAAAAUUCUCUCCAAAACUUUUCACAUACAAAGGUCAUUAAGGCCCUCUUCUCAAGAGGAUUUCGGAAUUCUGUUACCACAGUUUUUGGUGAAUGGUUCCUAUAUGGACCCAAAACUGCAGUUCAAGCUGUACCUGCAUAAUGAGCAAUUUCAUGGUCUAAAGAAAGUGGAUUUCAAAUUUAAAGAAAAACAAAACAAAACAAAACAAAACGAAACCCCCACAAAAACCUCCCAACUUAAAAUUUAUAAAUGCAUAGUGAAAACCAAAAANUAUUUUCUUUGCAUUCAUUUGAACCGAGGUCCAGAAAAAUCAACUAAAUGAGCUUUUAAGUAAAAGAAACAAGUGGUUGUUACAAAGAACAUCCAAUAUUGAGAUUAUGAAAUUCUGGC
rnacentral:lncRNA from 1 species